rnacentral:snoRNA from 1 species
UUGGCCCUAAAUCAAGGCCACCAGCUUGCUGUAGCCGUUGGUUUCAAGCAGGAGCCCAGAGGAAACAUCUCCCAGUCUGUUGGCGCUCCGGUCCCCAUGGAACAGCCAAUUUGUGUGGGAGCAACAACU